UACGGAGGGUGCAAGCGUUAAUCGGAAUUACUGGGCGUAAAGCGUGCGCAGGCGGUUUGUUAAGUCCGUUGUGAAAGCCCCGAGCUCAACUUGGGAAUUGCAGUGGAUACUGGCAGGCUGGAGUACGGUAGAGGAAGGUGGAAUUCCCGGUGUAGCAGUGAAAUGCGUAGAUAUCGGGAGGAACACCAGUGGCGAAGGCGACUACCUGGCCUGUUCUUGACGCUGAGGCGCGAAAGCUAGGGGAGCAAACGGG
rnacentral:rRNA from 1 species